GUUUGCAUUGACAGCACAUAUACUUUAUUUUCAGCAACACAGAGAAGAUUAGCAAUAGCUCCUGUACAAGGACAGCACUCACACUUCUAAAGCAUUCCUUAUUUUU